ensembl:lncRNA
GUUGAUAGCUUCGCAUGGAAUCUGAAGCACUGUAAGGAGGAACUCUCUAACUACAGAUUCAGGAACUUCUCCAUCUUUCUCUUGGAUACCUGAAGGUUCUCUCUAAUCCAAACAGACGACUUAAAUACGAGAGCAGUGGAUCAGGCCUUGAGGAGGCUAUCUUCUGUAUACCGUUGGGCCAGGAACUGAAAGGUAGAUCGAAUCCCCGAGCUGACAAGUGACACUGACUCUGAAUGGGAGCCCCCAGUGCCAAGGUGUCCAUCCCCCACUGAAGCUGGUUCAUCCAGCUCCUGCCACAAGUGGUGUUCAUCUGACCAAAUGUAUUUCUGCAGGCAUGGAUGUGCUAUGGCACCUGGCAUCAGCAGCAUAAUAUUGUGUAGAGGACUGAGGGUCUUCCAAAUAUUGAAAAUGUUAUUUUGUAAAUGUGUAUAUAUUUUUUUCAUGUUUUUUCUCCAUUUUGUUGGGGGGGUGUUAGAAUACCAUUUUGGUAUUUUGUAUAUAGUUAUUCC